rnacentral:rRNA from 1 species
GACGAACGCUGGCGGCGUGCUUAACACCUGCAAGUCGAACGGAGUGGCGAACGGGUGAGUAUUACGUGAGUAACCUGCCCUCAACUGUGGGAUAAGCCUGGGAAACUGGGUCUAAUACUGCAUAGUUGGGGAUGGGCUCGCGGCUUAUCAGCUUGUUGGUGGGGGGAUAGCCUACCAAGACGGUGAAGGGUAGCCGGCCUGAGAGGGUGGUCGGCCACAUUGGUACUGAGAUACGGGCCAGUCACGUACGGGAGGCGGCAGGGGGGGAUAUUGCACAAUGUGCGCAGGCCUGAUGCAGCGACGCCGCGUGAGGGAUGAAGGCUUUGGGGUUGUUAACCUCUUUCGGUACAGAACGGGUAUGUGCAGAAGAAGCGCCGGCUAACGACGUGCCAGCAGCCGCGGUAAUUC